rnacentral:rRNA from 1 species
CCUGGUUGAUCUUGCCAGUAGUCAUAUGCUUGUCUCAAAGAUUAAGCCAUGCAAGUGAAAGUAUAUAUAUAUUUUAUAUGUAGAAACUGCGAACGGCUCAUUAAAACAGUUAUAGUCUACUUGACAUUUUUAUUAUAAGGAUAACUACGGAAAAGCUGUAGCUAAUACUUGCUUUAUUAUCCUUUGAUUUUUAUCUUUGGAUAAGUAUUUGUUAGGCCUUAUAAGAAAAAAGUUAUUAACUUAAGGAAUUAUAACAAAGAAGUAACACGUAAUAAAUUUAUUUUAUUUAGUGUGUAUCAAUCGAGUUUCUGACCUAUCAGCUUUUGAUGUUAGGGUAUUGGCCUAACAUGGCUAUGACGGGUAACGGGGAAUUAGAGUUCGAUUCCGGAGAGGGAGCCUGAGAAAUAGCUACCACAUCUAAGGAAGGCAGCAGGCGCGUAAAUUACCCAAUUCUAAAAAAGAGAGGUAGUGACAAGAAAUAACAAUACAAAAACAAAAAAUGAUUUUGUAAUUGGAAUGAUAGGAAUUUAAAACCUUCCCAGAGUAACAAUUGGAGGGCAAGUCUGGUGCCAGCAGCCGCGGUAAUUCCAGCUCCAAUAGCGUAUAUUAAAAUUGUUGCAGUUAAAACGCUCGUAGUUGAAUUUCAAAGAAUCGAUAUUUUAUUGUAACUAUUCUAGGGGAACUAUUUUAGCUUUUCGCUUUAAUACGCUUCCUCUAUUAUUAUGUUCUUUAAAUAACAAAGAUUCUUUUUAAAAUCCCCACUUUGCUUUUGCUUUUUGGGGAUUUUGUUACUUUGAGUAAAUUAGAGUGUUCAAAGCAAACAGUUAAAGCAUUUACUGUGUUUGAAUACUAUAGCAUGGAAUAACAAAAUUGAACAAGCUAAAAUUUUUUGUUCUUUUUUCUUAUUUUGGCUUAGUUACGAUUAAUAGGAGUAGCUUGGGGACAUUCGUAUUCAGAUGUCAGAGGUGAAAUUCUAAGAUUUUCUGGAGACGAACAACUGCGAAAGCAUUUGACUAAAAUAAUUCCAUUAAUCAAGAACGAAAGUUAAGGGAGUGAAGACGAUCAGAUACCGUCGUAAUCUUAACCAUAAACUAUACCGACUAGGUGUUGGAUGAAAGUGUUAAAAAUAAAAGUCAUCUUUCGAGGUGACUUUUAGAUUGCUUCCUUCAGUACCUUAUGAGAAAUCAAAGUCUUUGGGUUCUGGGGCGAGUAUUCGCGCAAGCGAGAAAGUUAAAAGAAUUGACGGAAGGGCACCACCAGGCGUGGAGCUUGCGGCUUAAUUUGACUCAACACGGGAAAACUCACUAGUUUAAGACAAGAGUAGGAUUGACAGAUUAAUAGCUCUUUCUUGAUUUCUUGGAUGGUGAUGCAUGGCCGUUUUUAGUUCGUGAAUAUGAUUUGUCUGGUUAAUUCCGAUAACGAACGAGAUCUUAACCUGCUAAUUAGCGGAAAGUACACUAUAUUAUUAUUUGAAAUUGAAAAUAGGUAAAUAUACAUAUUAAUUCAGUAAUCAAAUUAGGAUAUUUUUAUUAAAAUAUCCUUUUCCCUGUUCUACUAAUAAUUUGUUUUUUUUUACUCUAUUUCUCUCUUCUUUUAAGAAUGUACUUGAUUGAUUAAAAAAAGCUUCUUAGAGGAACAAUGUGUAUCUAACACAAGGAAGUUUAAGGCAACAACAGGUCUGUGAUGUCCUUAGAUAAACUAGGCUGCACGCGUGCUACACUGAUAUAUAUAACGAGUUUUUAAAAAUAUGCUUAUAUUUGUAUCUUUGAUGCUUAUAUUUUGCAUAAUUUUCCUCCGCCGAAAGGCGUAGGUAAUCUUUAUCAAUAUAUAUCGUAAUAGGGAUAGAUUAUUGCAAUUAUUAAUCUUGAACGAGGAAUGCCUAGUAAGCAUGAUUCAUAAGAUUGUGCUGACUACGUCCCUGCCCUUUGUACACACCGCCCGUCGCUCCUACCGAUUGAAAGAUAUGAUAAAUUGUUUGGAAAAGAAAAAAAAUAAAGAAAUUAAAUAUUAUAUAAUUUUUUACUAGAAAAACAGUAAAUCCUAUCUUUUAAAGGAAGGAGAAGUCGUAACAAGGUUUCCGUAGGUGAACCUGCGGAAG